AUUGAACGCUGGCGGAAUGCUUUACACAUGCAAGUCGAACGAUGAACCUUAGCUUGCUAAGGGGAUUAGUGGCGAACGGGUGAGUAAUGUAUCGGAACGUAUCCAAUAAUGGGGGAUAACUAGUCGAAAGAUUAGCUAAUACCGCAUACGUCCUACGGGAGAAAGCUAGGGACCUUCGGGCCUGGCGUUAAUGGAGCGGCCGAUGUCUGAUUAGCUAGUUGGUGGGGUAAAGGCUCACCAAGGCGACGACCAGUAGCUGGUCUGAGAGGACGACCAGCCACACUGGAACUGAGACACGGCCCAGACUCCUACGGGAGGCAGCAGUGGGGAAUUUUGGACAAUGGGCGAAAGCCUGAUCCAGCCUUUCCGCGUGAGUGAAGAAGGCCUUCGGGUUGUAAAGCUCUUUCGCAAGGGAAGAAAACUUAAGCUCUAACAUAGCUUGAGGUUGACGGUACCUUGAUAAGAAGCACCGGCUAACUACGUGCCAGCCGCCGCCGUAAGAC
rnacentral:rRNA from 1 species